rnacentral:rRNA from 1 species
AAUGCACAUAUAAUUUAUUAUUUAAUAUAUUCUAAACUAUCCCACUCUAUUUAUUAUUUAAACUGAAAAGUAAAAUACUUAGUAAACAGCAGAAUAAUUCGUACCUUUAGCAUCAUGGUAUAACUAGUGUUAUUAUUUAGUACGGCACCCGAAUAAUCUCCGAGCUGAUAAAACACUAGCUCGACACCCAUAGUAUAAUAUUAUAUUAUUAAACUAAGAUAUUUUAUCAGAGGCUACAUACCCCCGCGGAAUUAGAUAGCUGGUUGUAUAAUAAAUUGAUUUUAGUCAAAAUAGCACGCUGCUAUUAAAAUAUUAAAGGCCAAGCUUUAAUAUAUUUUCUAUUAAAUAUUAUUCUACAUAAACACAUAUUAUAGGCCUAAAAUCCGCCACAUAACCCGCCACAGGGACACAUAUAUUUUGAUUAAUAAUAAUAACUUGUUUAUUCAUAUUACAACUUUCUCCUUUUUAGAACAUAAUAAAAUGUCAUAACUAGUAUUCUUUUCACUAUAAUUAACAAUAUAACUUCACACAACAAUAAACCUCCCCAAUCUCUAAGCAAGGAACUCGGCAAAUAUUUAUUCAGCCUGUUUAACAAAAACAUCGCCAACUGAACAUAUAGUAGGUCCAUCCUGCCCAGUGAAUCAUUUAAACGGCCGCGGUACCUUGACCGUGCAAAGGUAGCAUAAUCAAUUGCCUUUUAAUUAAAGGCUAGUAUGAAUGGACACACAAGAAUAAAUCUGUCUCCCUUAGAAUAUGUAUAAUCUGCACAAUAGGUGAAAAUCCCUAUAUACUAAUAAAAGACAAGAAGACCCUACAGAGCUUCAUUUAUAAAAGUCAAACACUCAAAUAUAAAGUUAAUUGGGACAAUUAAAAAACAUUUACACCUUUAAUAUUACAUACACAAACCCUCUAAUGUAAACGAAUACAGCUACCUUAGGGAUAACAGACUAAUUUUACUAGAGAGAUCACAUUGACAGUAAAGAUUGGCACCUCGAUGUUGGCUUAGUGUAACUAUUGAGCGCAGCCGCUCAACAAAGUUGGUUUGUUCAACCAUUAAAUCACUACAUGAGCUGAGUUCAGACCGGCGUAAGCCAGGUUAGAUUCUAUCUUUAUUAAGCAAAUUAACCUAUAGUACGAAAGGACCUAGCGUUACAAAUAAAAUUUUAAUAAUAUAAAAACAUU